CACCUUCACAAGAUCCGGCUCUCCCCUAUGUUUUACCCACCUCUUCCUUGAGUGUCUAUGAUGCGUCUUCUGUCCCGCUCCCAGUGCUGUCCCUUACUAAAACUGUAUCCUCCAAGGCUAGCAAUGUCCAUGGAGGUUCCUCCUCAGCCCAGAUCUCUUGGCAGCAUUUCUGCAUUACUCCUGGAGAUUCUUCCUGACGCUUCCCCACGCUGAACUCUCCUGAAUCCCUUCUGCAUCUUGGCUGCUACUUCUCUCUCCUGCUCACUGCUGGUCCCUGGCAUCUAAGUAUCUCCCAAGCUAAGUCUUCAGCUUCUGUUCUCCUCUCCUCACAUCCUUUCUCUCUCAGCGAGUUCAUCUAUUAACUCAUUUUCCUGAUUUCUACAGCCAAAGCCCAAAUAGACACUCAAAGGCCUGAGAUCCCACCAACAUUUCACUCCACAUUUCUGCACAAAACAGCUCCAUUUAGGUUUUAUGACCAUAACAUGUGUCUGAAGUACAUUUCACCAGCUCUAUUGCCCAGAUUCCUUCACAAUCACCCCCAUUUCUGGGUGUCAUGCCAUGGAUUCCCCAUGUCUCUAGCCAUAAACCUUCCAGCCAGGUACUAAGUCUAGGGUUGGGCCAGGAGUUGGAGCCAUUACUGCAGGAAAAGGUCCCAUGAAGCAGACCAGUCAAGAUGUGUGACUUCACUGAGGACCAGACUGCAGAAUUCAAGGAAGCCUUACAGCUGUUCGACCAAACAGGCGAUAGCAAGAUCCUGUACAGCCAGUGUGGGGAUGUGAUGAGGGUCCUGGGCCAGAACCCUACCAAUGCUGAGGUGUUCAAGGUCCUGGGGAACACCAAGGGGGAUGAGAUGAAUGUGAAGGUGUUGGACUUUGAGUACUUUCUGCCCAUGCUUCAGACUGUGGCCAAGAACAAGGACCAAGGCACCUAGGAGGAUUAUGUUGAAGGCCUUCGGGUAUUUGACAAGAAAGGGAACGGUAGUCAUGGGUGCUGAAAUUCGGCAUGUCCUUGUCACACUGGGUGAGAAGAUGACAGAGGAAGAAGUUGAGAUGCUGGUGGCAGAACAUGAGGACAGUAAUGGUUGUAUCAACUAUGAAGAGCUCGUCUGUAUGGUGCUGAAUGGCUGAGGAUCCUCCCAAUAUCCCCAGAGCCUGUGCCUUUUCCUGUGUGAGACUGUAUCUAGCCCGAAGGUGUCCCAGCUCUCCAGUCACAGCACCUUUCCCAUUUUGUCUCUUUGGGAUGAUGUUUGCCAUCAGCAUUCACCAAAUAAACUUGUUCUCUGUGC